rnacentral:rRNA from 1 species
AGUGAACGCUGGCGGUAGGCCUAACACAUGCAAGUCGAACGGCAGCACAGUAAGAGCUUGCUCUUACGGGUGGCGAGUGGCGGACGGGUGAGGAAUACAUCGGAAUCUACUUUUUCGUGGGGGAUAACGUAUGGAAACUUACGCUAAUACCGCAUACGACCUACGGGUGAAAGCAGGGGAUCUUCGGACCUUGCGCGAUUGAAUGAGCCGAUGUCGGAUUAGCUAGUUGGCGGGGUAAAGGCCCACCAAGGCGACGAUCCGUAGCUGGUCUGAGAGGAUGAUCAGCCACACUGGAACUGAGACACGGUCCAGACUCCUACGGGAGGCAGCAGUGGGGAAUAUUGGACAAUGGGCGCAAGCCUGAUCCAGCCAUACCGCGUGGGUGAAGAAGGCCUUCGGGUUGUAAAGCCCUUUUGUUGGGAAAGAAAAGCAGCAGGUUAAUACCCCGCUGUUCUGACGGUACCCAAAGAAUAAGCACCGGCUAACUUCGUG